AUUGAACGCUGGCGGCAGGCCUAACACAUGCAAGUCGAGCGGAUGAAGGGAGCUUGCUCCUGGAUUCAGCGGCGGACGGGUGAGUAAUGCCUAGGAACCUGCCUGUUAGCGGGGUAUAAGGGCCGGAAGCGGGGGCAAAUACGCCAAUCGCCCUGAGGAAGUACGGGUGGGAGCUUGGGACCUUCGGCUCUUAGGCGAGCCUAGGUCGGAUUAGCUAGUUGGCGGGGUAAAGGCCUACCAAGGCGACGAUCCGUAGCUGGUCUGAGAGGAUGAUCAGUCACACUGGAACUGAGACACGGUCCAGACUCCUACGGGAGGCAGCAGUGGGGAAUAUUGGACAAUGGGCGAAAGCCUGAUCCAGCCAUGCCGCGUGUGUGAAGAAGGUCUUCGGAUUGUAAAGCACUUUAGUUUGGGAGGAAGGACAGUAAGUUAAUACCUUGCUGUUUUGACGUUACCAACAGAAUAAGCACCGGCUAACUUCGUG
rnacentral:rRNA from 1 species